rnacentral:rRNA from 1 species
GACGGGGGGUCCUAGCGUUGUUCGGAAUCAUUGGGCGUAAAGCGUGUGCAGGUGGUUUGGUAAGUUGGAUGUGAAAGCCCCGGGCUUAACCCGGGAAGGGCAUUCAAAACUACCUAACUUGAGUAUGGAAGAGGGUCGUGGAAUUCCUGGUGUAGUGGUGAAAUACGUAGAUAUCAGGAGGAACACCGGCGGCGAAGGCGGCGACCUGGUCCUAUACUGACACUCAUACACGAAAGCGUGGGUAGCAAACAGG